rnacentral:rRNA from 1 species
CCUACGGGAGACAGCAGUGGGGAAUAUUGCACAAUGGGGGAAAGCCUGAUGCAGCCAAGCCGCGUGAAGGAAGAAGUAUUUCGGGAUGGAAACUUCUAUCAGCAGGGAAGAAAAUGACGGUACCUGACUAAGAAGCCCCAGCUAACUACGUGCCAGCAGCCGCGGUAAUACGUAGGGGGCAAGCGUUAUCCGGAUUUACUGGGUGUAAAGGGAGCGUAGGCGGUUUAGCAAGUCAGAAGUGAAAGCCCGGGGCUCAACCCCGGGACUGCUUUUGAAACUGUUGAACUAGAUUGCAGGAGAGGUAAGUGGAAUUCCUGGUGUAGCGGUGAAAUGCGUAGAUAUUAGGAGGAACCCCAGUGGCGAAGGCGGCUUACUGGACUGUAAAUGACGCUGAGGCUCGAAAGCGUGGGGAGCAAACAGGAUUAGAUACCCCGGUAGUC